rnacentral:rRNA from 1 species
ACAACUUUCAACAAUGGAUCUCUUGGUUCUCGCAUCGAUGAAGAACGCAGCGAAAUGCGAUAAGUAAUGUGAAUUGCAGAUUUCAGUGAAUCAUCGAAUCUUUGAACGCACCUUGCGCCCCUUGGUAUUCCGAGGGGCAUGCCUGUUUGAGUGUCAUU